CUCUUUCCGGAAUUGAGUGGCAAACGGGUGAGUAACACGUAAACAACCUGCCUUCAGGAUGGGGACAACAGACGGAAACGACUGCUAAUACCGCAUGACACAUCGGAGUCGCAUGGCUCUGAUGUCAAAGAUUUAUCGCUGAAAGAUGGGCUCGCGUCUGAUUAGAUAGUUGGUGAGGUAACGGCCCACCAAGUCGACGAUCAGUAGCCGGACUGAGAGGUUGAACGGCCACAUUGGGACUGAGAUACGGCCCAGACUCC
rnacentral:rRNA from 1 species